UACGUAGGGGCCUAGCGUUGUCCGGAUUUAUUGGGCGUAAAGAGCUCGUAGGCGGCUUGGUUAGUCAGGUGUGAAAUCUCCACGCUCAACGUGGAGAGGCCACCUGAUACUGCCAUGGCUUGAGUCCGGUAGGGGAGUGUGGAAUUCCCGGUGUAGCGGUGAAAUGCGCAGAUAUCGGGAGGAACACCCGUAGCGAAGGCGGCACUCUGGGCCGAUACUGACGCUGAGGAGCGAAAGCGUGGGGAGCGAACAGGA
rnacentral:rRNA from 1 species